CAGCACAGAUAUAGCGGCCAGAUGCAGAAGGAGUCUCGUAGACAAGUAUGUGCGCAAGUGCAACAUCCUUAACAUGAACAUAUGCCUGAACUGAAUUGGCAUAUGUUUUGGCAGAGCCAGUUAGGUACUUUAGUAUGUGAAGAACACUUGCAUUCACUGUUGGCUGGAGCAGUGGUCCAAGCACCAACACUGGGUUGAUCACGACCAAAUCCACUCCUUUUUCCCUUGCCUCAUCCCACGCUGUUUUCUCCGCCACCAUUUUCCCAUAGCAGUACCAAUUCUGCAAAGCCAUUUUUGAAAAACAUGUCAAACAAAUUGAAAUCAACUAUAUGAAGGACACGUGCGUUAGUGAUUUUAUUUUCUUAAAAGACCUUAGUAUUCUUGCAGAAGUCGAGAUCACUCCAGCAAGUCUCGUCCACAACUUUCUCGGUGGCCCUAUCGGGGUCCAUGUAGACCGCACCAAUUGACGAAGUAAACACAACCCUUCCAACUUUGGCUUCUGCAGCUGCUGUUAUCACAUUCUUAGUCCCAAUUACUGCUGGCUCCACCAUUUGUUCCUUCACCAAAAAUAAAUAUAAAGGACCAAAAUGAAGAAGAAGCAUUACAUACUGGUGUACAAAGAACAUACAUAUUUCAAACUUGGAUGAACGUAUUAGUGGGAAACUGAAAGCUAAAGCAACUUUUCCAGCACACCUUCAACGUGUUAGCUAAUGAUCAACUGUGGUUAUAGACGUGGGCCCACUAUUUACGAAAGUGAAUAGAUGUUUCAUUUUACUUGUCUAUUUUAACAAAUCAAAGUUAUAGUCAUUUUUUUUUUCACGCUAUCCUUAGUAUUAAAUAACACCAUAAAGUAGCAGUAAUCAGAUUUAGAGGUUUAAAACAUCACGGAAACAGUAUUCUAUAUUUCAAUCUCUUCCCUCCUGUCUUUUUCAUAAAUCUCAAUCAACCACCAUCAGAAAAAGAAAGGAAGAAUCCUACGCCACUAGCUUGAGUGGCUGUAAACAAUCCUAACAAUGAAGCAAUUCAAAUGGCUUUAAUUCUAAACAGUAUCUUAUUAGAAUAAUUUUUUGAAAUAUUUGAGGGUUUUGUUGUUUAAUUUAUGUAAUUUAUCUCCAUCAACAUGAAUUAUACUUACUGGAUCAUCAGUGACAGGAGAGGCAGUGUGGAAGACUCCAUCACAGCCAUAGAUUGCUUCUCUCAAACUUUGGUAGUCCAGAAGAUCAGCUCUACACAGUGUCAGUCUCUCUUUUGCACCUUCAAGUUCUCUCAAGUGACUAUUUUUGGGAUCAUCUGAAUACAAAAUCAUAAUAAUCAAAUAAAAUAUCAUUAAUUUGGAAAUGGGCAUAAUACGUAAAUGUGUCCUUUUAACAAUUGGUUUAAGCUCACAUUUACGUCCUCUUGUGCACAAGUAAGCACAUAAACAUCCAACCUGACAAAUUGCGUGAGAUGCACGCAUUCUACGUGUCAAAUCACGAGAUUUGCAACAUAGCAUAUGUGUCUACUCGUGCAACUUUAUAUGAUAGUUUAAGAGUAUACAAAAAUGUAUCAUGAAUAUUGUACAAAAAUUGAAGAUUUACCAGGAUUUCUAACGGUUCCUCUAACAGUGUAGCCUUUUUGUAGGAGGAUUUUAACAAGCCAAGAAGCAAUGAAACCUCCGGCGCCGGUGACACAGACGACUUUGCCGGAUUCCGAUGGCAUACUCUUACUUUUAUAUAUUAUAAGAGGAAAAUGAAAGUAGUGAGUGAUUUCAAGUUGAUGGAAAAGAUGGACAAGGGAGGAGUAUAUAUAGGAGUUGGAAAAGCCAAAGCCAAUAUUCACCAACUUACCUACUACUGCAGGUUACAUACACUAAUUAUUUCUUGGCUUCAGCCUUCAAAUUUGGAACUUGAACUAGAAAAUGGAAUUUAGGAAUUUUCUACCUUAUUUGAAUUGGGUGUGUUUGGUAUGAAAGGAAAACAUUUUCUCGAAAAUGUUUUUCAAUUUUCUCAUGUUUGGUUGGCUUAAAGAUUUUAAAAAAUGAUUUUCAAAUUAACUUAUUUUUCAAAAAUGACUUCCCUUUAAAAAAAAAAAACAAAGUAAGAAAAAUAUUUUUCAAAACUCUCUUUCAACCUCACUUUAAGUUGAAAUAUUCACACAACUCUCAAAAUCACUCAUUCCUACUUCGACCCUCAAUCCCCCACCCCCAUCCCCACCCCGCCUCCUACCACCCCGAUUAAAAAAAAUAUUUUAAUUAUUUUUUCUUACUUCACCCCCUACCUAAAACCCAAAACCCUACUCCCUUCCCCUUUCUAAUUUUUUUGUUUUUGUUUUUUAAAUUCAAACUUUUUUCUUACCUCCCCUACCCGACCACCCUACCAACUUCCUCCCUCAUCCCAAAAAAGAAAAAAUUUAAAUUUAUUUUUUAAAAUUUUUUAAUUUUUUCCAUAUCCCACCGUCAUUCUCCUACCCCGACCCCCACCCCCAUUCCAAAAAAAUAUUUCAAUUUUUUUUUCUUACCUCACUCUUACUCCCUUACCCUGAAAAAAAAAUAUUUUUUAAGAAACCAAAACUAUUCUCUUAAUCGCUCUUACUAUCUAUUUUGACAACGCCACCCUCCACCUACCAACCCUCUCUUCAAAAAAAAAUAUUUUUUAAAAAUGUAUUUUUAUGCUUUAGCUAAAUACUAAAAUGUAUUUUUUGAAAAAUAUUUUUUCAUUCACCAACCAAACACUACAAAAUAUUUUUCGAAAAAUAUUUUUCAUUCACCAACCAAACAUAGAAAAAUAAAUAAAAAAUCAACUUAUUUUUCGAGAAAAUAUUUUAUAGGAAAAUAUUUUCCUUCAUACCAAAUACACCCUCAGUGUUUUAAUUCAGAAGGAUCUCCUUUGGAACAAAGAACAUAAGGAAUUUUUGGUGGAAAAGAACUCUUUUAUAUCUAUCACUUUUUUCUUUUUUUAAAAGUUGUGUAUUUCUAUAUCUAUAGUACUCUCUCCGUCCCAAAUUAUCUAUUUCAAAUUGAGAUAUCACAUUAAUUAAAAAAAAUAAUUAAUAAUAUGGUUAGUUUACCGUAGUACCCCUAUUAAAUGAUGUUUACAUUUUAAUUUGAAGACAAGGUAAUUAAUGCAAAGGGUAAAACAUGAAAAAAAAAAUUUGGUCUCUUCUUAAUUAAUGAAAAAAGACAAGUAAAUGAGAAAUCAAAUUAGAAAAUUUGAGACGGAGAGAGUAUAUAAUAAGUCAUAAUAAACCGCUUAAGCAGACUGUUUAUGAUCGACAUGCCUGCUUCAGUUGUUUCAAUCGUAAUUUUAUUUUAUUAUUCUUAAUUAAUUUUUAUAAGUUAUUUACGUAUUAAAAAAUUUAAAAUAUUUAAUAAAAAAUUUAAAAUAGACAUUUAUGACAUGACUGCUUCAGCUGCUUCAACCGUGAUUUUACGAUAUCACUCAUAAUUAGUUAUUAUAAUUUAUUUAAGUAUUAAAAAAUUAAUAAUAUUUAAUAAAAAAUAAAAUAGACAUGAAAUAAUAAAUUAUUUUUUGAUGUUUUUAUAAGCCAUUUAAGUAUUAAAAAAUUAAUAAUAUUUAAUAAAAAAUAAAAUAGGCAUAAAAUGAUACAUUAUUUUUUUAUGUUUUAAAUUAACUUGAUGUCUUAUAUGAGACCACUUAAAAAAAAAUUCAAAAAUAUUUGCUACGAUAAUUUUACUAUGUCACUUCUAAUUAGUAGAAUAGAAGAAAAAAAUAUUAUAAACCACAAUAAUAAAGAAUUUAAAUUAUUUAAAAAAAUAUAAUUGACUAUCAAUGACACAAAAGUUAGAACGACCUAAAAUAUUGUUAUACAAAUUUCAUUAAUCUAAAUAUAAUAAUACAUACCUAACUUAGAAUUUAUCGACCAAACAAAUGAAUGUUUUAAUUAAAUGAUAGAAUUAUACAUAAUGCAAAAUUUUUAAGGAUUGACAUUGGACCAUGCGUAGCACGGCGUAAGCCGACUAGUCUAUAAAUAGAAUGCAAUAUCAUCCAUACACAAUGCAAUUUCAUCCAUAGUAUAGUUCUUUAGAGAGUUUUGUCGGGGGUAAUUAAUUCUCAUAAUUUAUUUGGAACAAUUUUUUAUAUUAGUAUUAUUAUAGGAAAAAUUACUUAAAACUAGACCUUAACUUUUCAUUAUUACUUAAAAUCAUAUCCCUCUAAAUUAAUUACAAAAAUUCUUUCUAACUCAUAAAAUCCUAAUAUUUGCUGAUACAUUACAACCCAUCCUAUUUUUGCGCCUCCUACUCCUCAAAACUCGCCCAAAAUCACGAAGAAGUAUCCGAUAUUUUUCACCAACUCAGCAAUUUUAAAUUUCAACCGUGUUAUCAGUCACUACAACAUUCAAGUUUCAACUUUCAAUUACAACCUCCAUUAACUUUCUUCUUCAAAUUUAUAGGAGGUAAGUUUGUUUGCAUAAUUUUUUUUAUUACAAAGACAGUGACUUUUUGUGAAAAUAGAUCGAAGUAUCAUAACUAUCCAACUAUGAUGAAGAAACUACAGGAGAUUACUGGUAGUAGCAAUAAGAAGCAUAUUGUUGGUUGAUGUUCAUUGUUUUGGCAUCAAAGAUAACAUAAUGUAUCGUUAUGGCAUCAAAGAUAUGAAACUACGGGACAUGCUAGGAGCCCAUCCUUUUGGCAUAAAAGAUACAUUACAUAGAAAUAAGAAACUACGAGACACUAGGAGCCCGUCGUUUUGGCAUCAAAGAUAACGCAAUGUAUCGUUUUGUUAAAAAAAAAGUUUUUUUAUCAAAGGUAUGAAUUAUAUGUAUUCUUGUUAACGUAAUGUAUCAUAUGUAUAAACAAGUUUUCAAAUUGGGGAUUUUGAUAAUAAAAGAGGUGUGUUGCAGAUGACUAUAUUGUAUUCGUACAUAUCUGUUUGUUCUGAUAGAUCAUAAAAUUUAUGCGUGAUUUUGAUUCUUUCUACACCUGAUACAUUCAAUAUAAUAUGUCUGAUACAUGAUCCAAGGUUAAUAAGAUAUUGCAUGCUUUCUGACAUAUAAUUCAACCCAUAUGUGAUUUUGAUCCAUUUUUAUACCUGAUACAUUUAAUAUAUUGAUUAUCAUACAUAGAUCUAUUUUCUGACCAAACUAUUGAGUGCUUUCUGAUACAUAAAAAGAUUUAUAUAUGAUAUGAGUUUCGCAUUCCUAAUACAUUAAUUUUUUUACACCUCCUACAUUUAAUAUAUAUAUAUAUAUAUAUGUGUGUGUGUGUGUGUGUGAUAUGGGUUUCGCAUUCCUGAUACAUUAAUUUUUUUACAUAGAAAGAUAUAUAUGGAAUAUGGGAUUUGUACUUCUGAGAAAUCAAAUUCUUAUAUUGUGUUUAAUUUUUUUCUGAACGCAGGGGAUGAGAUUUUUAUGAUGAAAAUGAAAUGAAUGAUUGGAGAAGGAAUUAGUUUUGGGAGAUUAUGAUUGAUGAAGCUUGAUUUGACUAUUCAAAUUUCAAAUAAAGAAGUUGUUACAGAUUUUAUGUAAUUAAACAGACACAAUCUUAGAUUGAGUGUGUUAAUUACUAAAUUGUAGGCACUUUUACUGGUUUUUUCCUUUUUUAUCUCCAAUUAAUUAGUUAAUAAUGUGUCAUAAACUUAUGUAUAGGAGAUUAAAUAAUGUAUCAUAUUCGGGAUAUCACGUAAUUAAUAUAAAAGUUGAGAGACAGAGUAAUUAGGUAACAAAAUGUUGGGAUUUAUGUAAAAUGUCCAUUAUUAUAUGUAGGUCAAUUGACCAAAUUUAUACCAUAUCAUCAAAGUUUUUAAAAUUGUUUUACUUUGUAAUCUGUUUUAUCCUUCAAUGUUUGUAAUUAUUAGCUUACACAUAAUACUCUGAUUAUUUCUAUUUCAAAAAAAAAAGGGUAUAUCCUAUCAUUCUCAAAGCCCAUUUAUAAAAUUAAACAAUGUAAUUUGUGGGUUGGUUGGUUGUCACGUCUCCAGCUCAAAACAAAUGGUCAUUAGAUUUGGCUAGAGGUCCAUUAGUCCAGUACUUAAUCAGCUAUCCCACCAAAAUAUUAGGUAAUUUUCCAGAGAAUAUGAAGCUCAAAAAAACUUUGAAUAGACCUAAAAUCAGAACCAUCCCCAUUAGUAGAAAAACAUAAUUCAGGCCAAGCCAGCUACCGAGAUAUAUAUAAUUCAAUGGUAUUUUUGCUGUUUCGGCGGGUACAAAAUCUGUAUUUUUUUUUAUACAAACUUUAAACUAAGUUUAAGAAUAAGUUUUCAAGAACUACAAUGAAGUAUAACACCUUCAAACAUAAAUUCAAAUGAAUAAUCAAAAAGAACUAUCAAAUAAAGUGUUUAUCAACUAUUAGGAAAUGAAGAUGAAGUAGAAAAUUAUAGAAUCAAGUCCACCAAAUGCACGGUGUGUGCUUAAGGAAUUUAUUCCCCUCAAAUAACCGAGGUUAUGGAAUCUUUCCUUCCAUGAUAAAAUGAUUCUCUUUCUAAAAAUAACGGCACCUCAAAUUUUCAGAAACUUCGAACACACUCAGCGAUUUGAUGAUCACACGAGAGUUUUUAGAAGAAGAAGAAGAUUGUUUUUCUACUCAAAAAUUAAUUUUCUUUACCUGAGAAAAAAUUCAGGUAUUUAUAGCCAUCAAAGUGUUGUUUCAUGAAGAGAAGCAAUGGUUCAGAAAGAUGCACCCUUCAUAAAAGUGUAACUCUUCCGAAAAGGUGCAACUCUAUGGAAAGUCACAACCUAUUGGAGAGGUCAUACCACUCAAUACGAAAAUGUGUUUAUUCAAAUUGUAUCCUUUCUCUUAGUGUCUUUUCGUAAAAAAAAAUACCACAUUUUCAUUUUUCAUUCACACCUCUUAAUAACCCAAUAGUCCCCCACAUGAAUGGGGAAUGACUAUCUUAUCAAAAAUUUACGGAUAAGUAUGUGAUCAACAAGCAAAGACUGAUUGUUUCUGAAUAAGUAAGUUUCCCUUUGAACUUUCCGUAGUGAACAUGCAUCGGAUGCACUCAGUCAAUCGGUAGAUUUGAUAUCUUUGAACCAUCGAACUUUAAUGUACACCUAGACAACACACGUUACACAAUCAGUCUUUUACCAUUUAUUGUUCUCACAAUUUUAUUCGUUUUAGCCAUUAACACGUCGUGAUUUCAUGAAAGCGUAGAGAAUAGGCCUUUAUUAACAUUCUCUUUGAAUCGGCUUCCACUUCACCCUCACAUAGGUGAUUUCUAAACGUUCAAUCCUAUAGAUUAAACUAUUUGGUUAAAUCUAUCAAAUUUAGAUAAUCAUUAAAAAGCUUCACUCCAUAAGCCUUAUCAUUGUUUUCUAAAAAUUAUCUACACAAUGAGAUGAGUUGAAUAUAUUGACAAUGUUGAAUCGUCAGUCACAACUUUAUUUGAUCCCCUUUAACCUACCUCUUGGAAUCUCCAGUCUGCUAGGUAGAGUUACAGCCAUGCUGACUUGUCCUAGGUCGUAAAUCCAUUCUCUCGAUGUUCUCUCAACCCCCUCUCUAGAUAAGCAUUUUGUAAGUGAAAUCGACACAUUAUCCUUUAACUUCACAUAGUCAACAAUGAUAAUUCCACUAGAGAGUAGUUCUCUAACGGUAUUAUGUCUCCGUCUUAUAUGACGAGAUUUAUCGUUAUGCAUUAUGCUCCCUACUCUACCUAUCACCGUUUGGCUAUCAUAGUGUAUAUAUACUGGUGCCAAUGGUUUGGGCCAAUAAGGAAUAUCUUCUAAGAAAUUUCAGAGUCAUUCCACUUCUUCACCAACUUUAUCUAAUGCAAUAAAUUCAGGUUCCAUUGUCGAACGGACAAUACAUGUCUGUUUGAACGAUUUCCAGGAGAUUGCUACUCCACCUAAAGUAAAUACAUAUCCACUCGCGGAUUUUUACUUCAUUCGAUUUGGUGAUCCAAUUUGCAUCACUAUAUCCUUCAAUUACCGCUGGAUAUUUAUUAUAAUGCAAAACAUAGUCUUGAGUGUAUUUUAGAUACCUCAAAACUCUUUUCAUUGCCAUCCAAUGAAUUUUAUUGGAAUUACUUGUAUACCGACUCAAUUUACUAAUAGCUCAUGCUAUCUCUGGCCGUGUACAAUUCAUAAUAUACAUUAAACAUCCCAACACUCUUGCCUAGUUCAAUUGCGAGUCACUUUAACUUUCAUUCUUUUGAAGUGCAAAGCUCACGUUUAAUGGAGUCUUGACAAUACCGAAAUUCGAAUACUUGAAAUUGUCAAGUACCUUUUCAAUGUAAUGAGACUAUGACAACGCCAACCCUUAUGAUUCUUAUCUCUAAGAUCACAUCCGCAACUCCAAGGUCUUUCAUAUCAAACUUGCUCUCAAGCAUUUACGUCAGAAAUGUCUCUAAUGAUGAUCAAUAUGUCAUCCACAUAUAAACAAACAAUGACUUUGUGAUUUGGUGUAUCUUUGAUGUAAACACAUUUAUCACGUCUGUUUAUCUUAGAGCCGCUUGUCAACUUUGUUUGGUCAAACUUUGCAUUCACUCAGGCUUUCAACAAGUUGCUCAAAUUCCUAGUAUGUAUACAUUCAUCACUAUUUCUUAACCUAAACGUAAAUGUAUAGGAUAUUAUUACCUUAUUUAGUUCUUACGUUGCUGUUUCUGUCUUGCUUUCGAAAUGUUUAAUUUCGUGUAGUUAAUGUUAUAAUAACGCAUUACAAUUUAUAAGAAUUUAACUUCAUUUAAUUGUAGUUCACAUUUUAACACUACAAAAAAGAAUCAAUUUAUGGGGGUAUUUUGUUAAUUUGAGGCAGUUUAUAGCCCCAUAUAUUGAAUUGCAACGGUUUUAAAAAAAUGUCACAAUUAGCCUUGCGCUGAGCUCAUUUGCGACGGUUCUAAUAAACCUCUAUGACGAUCGUCACAAAAUGACUUAUAAAUUUGUGGAGGAUUUUAGUAUUAAUUUGUGACGAUUUAGAACCUUCACAAAAUAAUUUAAAUAUUUUGAAAAUUAGAUUUGUGUGGGUUUAUAAUUAUCGUGAUAUGAGAUUAAUAUUUGCAUAAUUUAAUUUAUAGAGCUUACAACUGCCACAAAGUACCAUUUUUUUAAAAAUAAAACAUGUGAAAUUUGAUUUACAUCAAUCUUUUAAAAUAAUAUGAAUACAUAAUUUUAUUAAAUAACACAUUCAAUAUAAAUCAAAUUUCAUCAAUAAUUACAUACUAAUAAGCUUUAUAAGUCAUGAUGUUAAAUAUUUGUGAUGUUAGACAAACUUGUGUAUAAUAACUUGAACAUUAUAAUUUUAAAUUCUUAAAAAUCGAAAGAGUUCCGCAUCAAAUAAACAUGAAAAUUUAAAGUGUUUGCUUGGUGAUUUGAAUUUUAGUCAUACAAUCCUCUAUUCAUGGUGACAUGAGCUCGACCUCUGCAUCAAGCUAAAAUAGUGAAAAUUGAAUAGAUGAUUAGAUAAACAUAUAUUGAUAUACAUAUAUCUUCAAACAUCAUGAUAAAAAUUUACAAAAUUAAUCUCAAAAAUAAAUUCAUAUAUAUUGAUAAAUAUUUAUAAAAUUAUGGAUAAAAGAAAAUUACUUUAUUAAUGAUGAAACAUUAAAUAGUGAUUGAGACUUUAUAAUAAUGUUCAUUUAAAGUUGUAAAAAAUUGUAAGAUAAACAUUACCGGCCUUAUGAUUUUCAAAAUUAUACAAUGAAUCUGAGUGUAUUGGUUCAAUCAUUUCUCACUUCUCUUAAUUUAUCUAUUAGACCCUUCUUGACUUUAUUUUUAUGUUAUAUUAUUAUCAAUCACAAUCUAAUCUUCAAAACUGUCUUUUAAUUUGCAAUAGUCAAAUUCAAUAAGAAUAAAAUUAUUCCAUGAUACUUAACUAAACAAAAUAAAAUUGAAACCUGCCUGAAAUCAAUUAAAGGCCAAAUAUAAAUGACUUUACGAUGUUGUAGAAAUUCAAAAAAAUCUUAAAAAUAAUAAAUAAUAAAAAGAACUCAUGUGAUGCUUAAAUUUAUUUGAUGUAGGAUUACCUAUAUAUUCAUAAAAUUAUUUAUCAGUCAUUCCACUUUAUUAAACCUACCAAAGAUAAAAGUAAAUUAAGGGGGGUGGGGGUGGGGGUUAUUAGAUUGGGUUUUAAGUUUUUUGGAGGAAAAUUUUAAUCUUUAAUAAUUUAUAACUUUUUAUAGGAGGGGAAAGUAUUACUAGAAUUUUGGUUGGUUUUGAUCCAAAUGUCAAAUGAGAGAUUUUUUUUGGUGCAUAAAACAAACUUCUUUUUUUUUAAUAAUUAUUCAAAAAAUCUACUAAUAAUUAUUAAUAAAAAUGUUUUAACUUAAAAAAUAACUAUGACAAGAGCAUAAAUAAGUUUGAAUGCAUACAAAAAUAAAUAUAAUGAAUAUGAGUAUAUGACUAUUGAUUUGGCAUUUAAGUUUUAUUUUAAACAACAUAAAAAUAAAUAUGUAUAAUAUAUUUGAGCCAAAGUUGAUCAUAUAAUAUUUUUCUAUAGUUUUACCAAUUAUGAAAUUUAAAUUAUUGUGUUAUGGUGCAACCAACAUCACUAAAUAACACAAAUAUCUAAUACAAAAUAGUAGUGUACAUAAAAUAAAAUGUUGAAAUGAAAUUGGGCAGAUAAAGUAUAAAAAAAAAAUAGAGAAUUCCUCAAUAGGUUUAAAAAAAAAAUAAAAAUGAUAAGUAAUUAUAAUAGUGUCAAAAUGAAGACGGAGAAGAGUGUGUUUUUGUAUGUUGUUAUAUAUAAUGAGUUAACUUUCAAAAUUAGUUAUUAUAUAACAUAAAAUUUGAGUGUAGUAAACUAUAAUAUUUAAAAAAAAAAAAAAAUUAGUUCCUAAAAAGUAACAAAUUUAAUAAAUUUGUGGAAGUCAAUAAAUGCUUUUAUAACCUUAAUAAAAUCGCCGCUAUAAUUUUUUUACAUUGCGGGGUAACAAUAAAAUGCAACGAAAUAAAUUAUUAGUGAAGUUUCUUUAAACAUUCACAAAUAAUCUAUCACAAAUUAACCAUUUCUUGUAGUGUAAACUUUAAGGUAAUGAGGUUUGUAUUAAAUUAACUUCUUAACUGUUGUCUAAAUAUUUUUUCUUAUAUUAACUACUAGUUAUUAGAAUAUUAGUACACACUGUAACGUUUUAGAACGCGUUAGUCAUUCGAAAAUUGUUAAAUGAAACAAAAUCUAAUAUAGUCAUGAACUAAAGGACUAAAGGAAAAUUGUUACUGUAAAAACAAUUUGGCAUUAUUUCAUGGACUAAAGGAUUUAUUGAAUAUAAAAAUCUAAUAUAGUCAAAUCUAUGUCUAGUGACAUCGUUUGAUCGAAAAUUUUAUGAUUGUUAUAGAGAGGUAAUGUUAUAUAUAAAUACUGAUAUUUGAUAUUCCGAUUUCAUUUAAUUUGUGAGAAGCAAAAGUACGCUAAGUUAGAAAGAACAUGAAUAUAAAAAACGCAAAUAUUAAUAGUCUUUUCCUCAUAAAGUUAUGAACUAAUCGAUAUGCACCAUUUAAAUAUAAUUUUUUUCUUUAAAUUAGAUUUUCGUACUUGAAAUUAACUGUCAAUUAACUGUGUGUGACAGUAAUGAUGAUUACCAUAAGAAAUUUGAUAUUUUAGUUUGUAUAUAAUGAUGUUGUUAUGAAAGGUAAUUUUAUAAAGAGUGUACUGCGAUAAUAAACGUCAUUGAAGUUAUAGGUAGAAUGUCAUUAUAGAUAAGUAAAACGGACAUGAAAAAUCGAUUCCAAAGUAAAUCAAACCGUUAUGAUGAAAUGUCGUUAUAAUGAGGUGACAGAAUAGAGAGACUGAUUUUGAUUGUAAUUAUUUGUACAUUAUUCUAUUUGUUGCCCAUCCAAAACAUGAUCAUUAAAACAAAAUUCUAUUACGUAGAAUAAAUAAUACAACAAUAAUCUGAAAAGCGAUUCAAAAAUAACAUGAACGUGAUAACAAAAUAUUAUUACAAAAAAUAAUUAUUAUAGAGCGAUAUGACUAUAUAAUGAUUAUUUUAACUUCGUCUUCCUGUUCAAAAAAUAUUCCUCAGCUAAAAACUUGUAUUUUAGUUUUCACUUCUCUUUCGAAGAAAUCUUUUAUCAUGAUCAAUUUGGAUAUUGUUAUCUAGAAAACAUUAACGAAUUUUAGUUGUAGACACAUCAUAAAUUAUGAGGUCUGACAGUUAAAUUUGAAAUAAUUUAGAAUUUUUAAUUAAUCAAAUAUAGAUACAUAGUAGAUCUUUUUUUAUACUUUAUUAUGAUCCACAUCUGAUUAUAUGAUAAAAUUAUGCGACUCAUAUUUAAUAUAUAGUCUAUCAGAUGAAGAACCAAAACGUUCUUUUAAACUACUCGAAAAGUUCAGCUAACUCUGUAUUUGAGCUUCAAACUUCAAACUUCAAUUAUAACAUGUAGGAAUUGCAUCUAUCCGGCAGACUAUUUCCAUCCUACAAUAUAGGUUAGGUACAACAUAAUUUUUUUUUAAGAGUAAUUAAUUCGUAAUAAAUAUCAAAAAACUUUAGACAAAAUCGACAUGUUCCACCUCUUAAGUGUAAUCACUGUCUCUCACUCGUGGUAACUAAUAAUGUGGAGGCACUUCUCUUCCCAAUUACAAGCGCAACUUUAAAAAAUGUGAUUCACUUAGGGGUGCGAAAAUUGAAUCGAUCAGUAAAUCAAAUUGAUAAAAAUCUUAUUGAUUUAUUGUUUUUGGGUUACUGAAUUAACGAUUUUGUAAUGAUUUUAUAAAAGAAAUUUAUUGGGUUUGAUUCGAUUUCGUUUUUUUCUUAUUGGGUCAUUGGAUAUAAACCAAUCGACAACCGAAUAUGUAUAUAUUUCUACAAAGAAACAAAUCUAUUCAAUUUUCUAAACUAACAUUCACUUCAAGCUUGUAGAUUCUAGUAAUCAAAAUACAUCAUGUAGGAUUUUGCCUGCAACUAAGAUUCAAUCUAUUUUCAUGUUAGUUGCUACUAUUUCUAUGCUAUGAGUAUUUUUUUAUUGGUUAAACCGAAAAUUAAAGCCGUUAAAGAGUAAAAAGCGAUAAACCGAAAACCGAUAAAAAACAUCUUAUUGAUUUGGUUAAUCGGUUUAGCAUAUUUAAAAUUCAAAAAUCGAUAAAUCAAAUCAAUAAUAUAUAAAAUUGAACCGAACUGACCGGUGAACAACCCUAGAUCCAACGAGUUUACGGUAAACAUGAACGUAGUUUCGUUGAUUGACUACUUGAAUUUUUAUUUCAUUAGUGAGAGUUUGAUUCCUCAUCUUGUUAUUCCCUUUCCCUAUGGCCGGUGUAAUUUUUAUUUUUAUUUUUUGGAAAAAAAAGCAUCAACUAUUUUUUUUUCUCAAGUUGAACAAGAUAGUUUGCUAUAUUCAUGAAAGACUUUUCAUUAGUUUUUAGAAAAAAAAAAUAAAAAAAUUAAGGGAACCAAAAAAAUACGCUUGACAUUUUUUUUUAAUCAAACAAAAAAAGGAAAAACUUUUUCAUUUUUAAUUUACAAAAAAAACAUUAGGUAGCAAAUAUUUGGCCAGAUAUCAAAGUAUAAUUUAAGAUGCAUAGAACUUGCAUGUAUAUAUCUAAUUAGAAUUAAUUUAAAUUUUGAAAACUAAUUACUGUAAUACUCCUGCAAGCUGGAAUCUAAUUUUCUUGGAAUAACUGUCAAUAUCAAAGUUGGUCUAGAUGGCUGCUGGCUAUUAAAAAAGAGAGAGAGAUAAUUAAUUACUACAGUAUACAUCCUCAUAUUAUACAAAUUAAAGAGUUUUGUUAAAUGAAUGUACAAAUUAUAAAGCCGUCUCUAACCCAAAAUCUAAUUAAAUAAAUUGGGUAAGGGAUGAUGUGCCCAACAUACAUAUAGUAUUCAUAUUUAUUAACAUCUACGGAUUUUUUGUUUUUUAAAAAAUAAUUAGCAGUUUAUCUAUAUCUAUAAUUUAUAAUCUAUAUCAAUAUAUAUAUAUAUAUAUAAUAAUAAUAUAUUAAAAGUAUGAAGACCUUUAGAAAAGUGAAUUGAACUUUUUGCCCUUCAUUAAAAUUCCUUGCUUUAGACAAAAUCAUCUUUUUCAUUAUUUUUCUUAAUAUUUAAGAGUUAAAAAUUAAUUAAAUAUAUUUAUGGUAAAAACUUUUCCUUAUGAGAAAACAUCAGAAUUUCUAUAUCUUUUUCUAAUUUAAGAGUUGAAAAUUAAUUAAAUAUAUUUAUGGUAAAAUUUUUCCUUAUUAGAAGUCAUCAAAAUUAACGACAACUGAUAUUUUUUCUAUCAGUUUAAGAAUUCUAAAUCAACUAAAUUUAAUUUAAAGAAGAUUUGAAAAAUCUAAAAAUAAUUAUAAAACUAUUAGAAUAAGAAAAGAUUAAAAAGUUCCAGAUUUUUAAACGUUUUAAGUACGUAAUAGAAUGUAAUCAAUAAAUUUAUAAAGAUUUGACUUUAAUAAUAAGGAAAGAUUUUAAAUGUAUAAAAAAAAAAAAGAAAAAUAAUCGUAACACAAAUAUGGUUCAAAUUGAUGAAUCUCUCUUAGCCUGUGGCAACAAGGGAAAGAUGUACGCAAACGCAAAAGUGAUAAUCCAUCAACCACUUGGAACUAGUAAAACAUAUAUGUCUAUAUGUUUAUGUUUACAUUAUUAUAUUAAAGUGUGAAAGUUUUUUGAAAAGUGAUUUGAAUUUUUACACUUUAUUAAAAAUCUCCAUAAUAGAUAAAAUCAUUUAAUUUUAAAUAAUCAAACGUUACGCGGUUACACUAGUACUCAAAAAUAAGGUAAUAUAAAAGUUGGCAUUUUCUUUUUAUCUAUAGUUUAAUUUAAUUGUUUUAACACGGGGACUUGUUUUAUGAUCUGGCAAAUCAAUUCAAUUUAUCAAGUCUGUUUCUUUAAAGUCUUUGUUUAUUUAAUGCUCCAUAAAAAAUAAGGGGCCAUUUAAAGUCUAAAGCGAAAGAUAAAUAACGAUUUUGGUUAUUUUUUUUCUCUUCAUUUUUAGUUGCAACCACCAGCUGAUAAUGAAAUUUGAUGAUUUACAGUGAAUAUUUGGAUAUUUGAUUGUCAGUUUUACUAACUGAAAACCUGCUACAUUUCAUUAUUAAUUUUCCAUUUUAUUUUACUGUAUUGUCUUGUUAGCAUAUAUAGCUCUCAACCUACAACUGAAAAUUGACAAGAGCUAUAACUGAAAAUUGACAAUUCUUUCAUUCUGUGUUUGUAAACACGUAAUUUUUUAUCCUCCCUAAUUUUAACUCGUUUAUCGAUAUUAAAUAUUUAUAUUUAUAUUUAUAUUUAUAUUUAAUCAUAUAUUAUUUUGAUUCUUAUUUUUAUUUUUAAUAAUUUUUAGUUAAAAAAAUAAAUAGUUAAAUAAAGUUAGCUUCAAGAUAUUUUAUUUUUAUUUAUUAUUCUAAUUUUUCAAAUAAUAUAAAAAAUUUAAAAAUAUUUUCAUAAAUUUUUAAUAAAUAAAUUAGUAGUUUAAAUACUAUUUUAUUAUAUUUAUAUUUGUCUAUUUAUAAAUAGUUAUUAUGUUUAAUAAAUACAAAAUUAAUUAAUUAUUAGUAUAUUAUUAUUAAUGUUUUAUUAUUUUAUUUAUUUAUUUAUUAUUAUUAUCUUUAUUUAUUAUUGUUACCAUUAUCUUCUAUAUAAAAAUAAUAAUAAUAAUAAUAAUAAUAAUAAUAAUAAUAAUAAAUUGAAUUUUAAAUACCCCUCCCCCUUAUCUGACAAUUAAUAACUGUUCCCCCUCUUAAAGAUAACUAUUCUCCCAAUCCCUGUAUUUAAGGGUACUUACACUGUUUUCAACAGGGGAUUCUACGUACAUUCAUUCUCAGACACCUAUAGAUUAUCAGAAAGUCAGACAGUAAAAAAAACAUAGAAAAAGAAAGAGAAAGACAGACUGUGAAAAAUAUCAGAUAAAAAGAGAGAAAAAAGGGUGAAGUUGAAUUUGAUUCCGUUUGAGUUUUCAGUGCAGACUGUUUCUCGCUUUAUUUUUUAGUUCAUGUAAUUACAGGUUCUUUUUAUGUUGUAAGUUUAUAGAGGAAAAAAAGUAUGAAUAAAAAUAUCAAGUGAUUUCAUGCUUUAUGAAUGGUAGAUUGAUUAAAAGAACAUUUGUUAUUAUAUGUUAUGAGAUUAAAAUUAUCGAAUAUUUAUAUAUUUGUACAUGAAUAAGUCUCUAAAUUAAAACUCUGUAUGUUGAUACUAUUAAAUUUAAAAUGGGGACACAAAGGAAAAAAGUGAAACAAAAAAAAAAUAGAUUCUAUUUCUCACAUGCACACACCAGAACAUGAAUACCUUACAAACUGCACACAUCACUCACAGAUAUAGCAAUUCACGCGCAUGAAAAUAAAAUACAUGCAUACAAAAAAUGAGAUUGGAAUAAAAAAUCAAUAAAAAUAGAAUAGUUGGGAACGGAAAAAAAAUCAGUGAAAACAGAAACGAGAGGGAGAUGAAAAAUUAUUUAAAGGAUAAAAGGAAAAUUGUCAAUCUUUCUUUGAAUUUUUCGGCGAAUUUUCUCGCCGGAAAUACAUCAAAAAAUUCACCAUUGUCUGAAUUCAUUCUAUUUUAUCAAAAUUCGACCCUUAUGGUCGGUUCCGGCGAAUCAACUCGCUGGAAAAACUUCGCCGGCCCUGCGUCGUCACACCCCUCCCCAGAUCUAGUCAGAAUCUUUUCCAUCGACGAAAAACCGCCGCUGCCGUCCCCUCUCCCGUCCCCAUUCAUCGAUGUAACCCAAAACCAGCGUAAUUCCGCCAGUAACCCCUGAACCGGCGGAAAAUCACCAAAUCUGUUGUGACUCAUCGAUCUCCUUCCUUCUCCCUUUUCCAGCGAUCUCCAUUGCUGCCAUAAAUAUUGUAAAAAAAUAAAAUAAAUUUUUUUAUUUUUUUUUCUUUUGGAAUACUGAAUGUACGUAGAAGAGAAGAUAUCUUUAUAUUUCUUUUAUUAUUGUUUCCUUUUAGGAUAAAUACCCAUGUCCCUAUGUUUGCGUAUAAUAUAAAAUUAUUUUAUUUAAUAAUUAGUAAAAAAUAAAGUAUGAAUAAAUUUGAUACUAAUAAAGUUUAUUAUUUAUUUUUUGAAAUUUCGUGUGUGAUUUGUCUUAUAAUAUAUAAUUUGAGUUUAUUUAAUUUAAAAUGAUUAUUUUUACAAAAAAAAAUUAUUAUUAUAAUAUAUGUAGAUUUGUAUAUUUUAUUAACAAAAUUUAAUAAUUAUUUAUUUAAUUAAUUAUGUUAAAUGAAUUUUGCUUUAAUUUAUUAUUACGGGUUUAGAUAAAUUUUAUACGCGUUUUAAACAUUCGUCUCAAUUAAGAAUGUGGCAUACGUAUCUUUUGAAACAUUUAAAAUUUAAGGAUGCAAUAAUGCACCUUGAUAAACAAUUUUUCUAAAAUUAUUUUUUUCGUUGAUUUAUUUAAUAUAAGAUAAUAGACAAGUUUUUUUCGGUAUAGUAAAAUAAGCAAAUUUAGGCCUUAACACAAUUUAUUGAAAUAGUUUUAGUUAAGUACAAGUCAAUAGAAGCGACUGUGCUAGAACCGCGGGACUCGAGGGGUGCCUAACACCUUUACUUCGGUCAAUAGAAUUCCUUACCCGGUCUUCUGUUUUCACAAACCAAAUAAAAGAGUCAUUUCCUUUUGACUAGGGAUUCAAAAAGGUGACUUGGAACACCAUUACUCAAUUCCAAGUGGCGACUCUGUAAAUAAAAUAAUCCCUAUUCAAAACCAUCACUUGAAUUGAAAAAACACUUCAACCUCGACCCUCGAGCCAAAAAGGGGUGUGACAUCUCUGGCGACUCUGUUGGGGAAUAAUAAGAAUUCAAACUUUUUAUAUUGACUUAUACUUGCUUUAAUUAUUGUUGAUAUUGUGUUUGUUGGCCUUACGUCCUACUUAUCGCUUAUUUACCGCUUUGAUAUUGAUUGAACUGUAUUAUAUACUGUCUUCUCUUGCGCACCCCCUCUGAGUCUCUGAACUAGGAUAGAAGGAAUGCAACGCAUGCAUCCUACUUUCUUUUUGAGAUAGCCGGAGUGUCAAGACACCUGGUGAAGGAUUAUAGUCACACAUGUUAGGCGGGGCUCGGAUCGACAACAAAGGCAGUGUUGCCCUGAUACUGACCAAGUUGUCCCUCCCCGGCUCGAGUGUCCGCUCGGGUAAGCCAGUCUAGACACCUAUCUCUAUUAGGCUUAAUCCUAGAAGAACUAAAAACUCAGAAUCUGGUUAUCCCUAUUAGGUGCCGCUUUAUUUGCAUCAUAUGCAUUUGACUUAGCGGAACUUGGUGCAGGGGUUGGGUCUGUCUAGGACAGGUGACCUACUUUAUAAAGACCAACAUGUGCAUCCUUCGUGCUCUUUGACAUUUGUUUGGAAGGUUGUUUGUUUGUUGACCGGCUUUGGGCAACUUUAAAAUCCAAGAGAUUAAAUUAUCCUCACAUUUAGUGAAUCAUUUUUUUAUCUUUUUUUUAAAAAAGGAAAAUUUUAUUUUUAAAAGAAAGAAAAUUUUUUAGUAAUAUAGUUUUAUGGUCUUCAUGAACUACAAUGGUCUGAUUCUCACUCUUUAGUGGGAUACGUAGGAAGUCCUUCUCAGGAUACGACCCUAUCUUUUGAAAAUUAUUCAUAGACUUAUUGGGGAAUAUUUUGAAAAUAUAAUUACUUUCAUAAUUAUUUUUCUAAUUCUCAAGUCUAAUUUAUAUAUAUUUUAAUAGCCCUGAAUCUUUAGGGAUCAUGAGGCUAAGUUUUUACAAAAUAAAUAAUAUAUAUAAAUCAUAAUAGCCUGAACCUUUAGGAGUCGUGAGCUGAAUUUUUGUAAAAUAAUAAAAUAUGUAAACAUAUAUUUUAACAGUCCUGAACCUUUAGAGGUCGUGAGGCUGAAAUUUUUAUACAACUUCAUACAUAAAACAAUCAUUCUUCUUUUCUUUAUUUCUAAAUCAUUUUAUUUGAUUUUUGUUCUUUUUAAAUGUACUUAGGGGGUAUUGUCUCUAAACAUAUAGUUAAAAUUCUCUGGAGGUCUGUUAUUGCAAAAUUUUUGAUUGAGUCAACUUAAAUAAGUAUUUUUCCUAAAAAUAUUAUCAUUCAUGUUUCUCUCACUUUGAUUUUUAAUAAAAUAGUUCUUUACAUCUAGGUCUUAAUUUAAUGAUCGCACUAGUUCUCACGAGUCAAGUUAAAACUUCUUUUCAAAAAUUAAUGAAUUAAGUCCUGCCUAAGUCUAGACAUUUAUUAAUCUCAUGUCCUUAUCAAUAGGUAUAAAAUGUCUCCUCCUGUUCAAGGAAAAUGUCCAAGAGAAAGAGGGAUGGGAGUGUACCGCUUCAGGUUGUAGAUUGUACCCCUUUGUAGCUUUGGUUGUGGUGGAACGAAAUGGAUACAUUCGAUUAUGACGAGAUACAUUAGUAUUUGAGUUUUUUGACGAGUAUUAUGUCAAUCAAGCCUAAUAGGGAGGUGAUUGAUGCAUUACUAAUCUUUUGGGACCCGAAGAACAAUGUGUUUCGCUUUUAGGAUUUUGAGUUGACUUUGACUUCAGAGGAGAUAGCGACCUAUGUUGGAUAUGGGGAUAUGCAUUGGAAGAAACUUAUAGCCCCAAGACUCAUUUCGAUAAACAGAUUCUGCAAGCUCAUGAACAUACGAAACUCAAAAGAAGAAUCAAUGAAAAAAGGUUGGGUUUUCUUGCAGUUUUUGUAUGACAGAUAUGGAAGACAAUAGGGGUUUGAAAAGUACGGUAAAUAGCUUUAUAAUAAAGAAAGUUUUGAGGCUUGUAAAGUUCACAGAGGAUUUGCAUUCAUGGUAGCCUUUCUAGGCACUAUGGUUUUCCCGAGGAGAGAAGAAAAAAUUAAUAUUCGUUUAACGGGGGUGGUACAGAUACUGAUUAAAAAAGAUUACACUGUGGUACCAAUGAUCCUGGUAGAUAUCUACCGAGCUUUGACCGUUUGUCAGAAAGGAAAGAGUUUUUUUUAGGGAUGUAAUAUCUUAUUAUAGAUGUAGAUUGUGGAGCAUAUUUACCGACGUCCUACAAUGGCAAGGUUUAAUCCUGAAUGAUUUAAUCGCAUCAAAGAUUACGAAGAGAGGAUAGAGAAAUAUAAAUGCCCAGAAGGAGUUAGAGAUUAGGAUAAGCUUUUUCGCUCUCUGAUAGCAGAUAAAAUCACUUAGAAUCUCCCUUGGUUCCCUUGGAGGCAAGUCAUACACAGUUCUGUCAUUCGACCGUUGUUAUUAUUAAUGGGUAUUAGGGGUGUUCAACCGUAUGUUUCAUUGAGAGUUUUACGUCGGCUAGGAAGACGUCAAAUAAUUUCCAUUAUGGAAAAUAUGACCGAGUUUGUAUUUGAGGUCAAACCAGAGAUCCCACUUCCAGAGAAAUUGGCCCAGUAGAUUUGGGAGGGUUGCCGUAUCAUGGGGAUUGAAAUGAUGGUCAUAGAGCGUGAGAAAGGAGAAGUGCACCCUGAUUAUCGUGAAUGGUUUGAAGAAUAAUUGAGUCCGCCAGUCAGACCAGAAAGAUCGGUUAGGGGAACUAUAGAUUAGGAAGCUGCAAUCAGGAUAGGAAUUGAGAGAGCCAUGCGAGAACAUCAUGAGGCCAACCAAGCUUUGAGAGAGAAAUUAGAGCAUGCCAGGGCAAAAAUAGACGAACAACAAAGGGAAUUUGCUGAAGAGAAAGCUAAAUCAGUAGAUAUUGAGGUUGCACUUCGGGGACAAAUCAAACUGGCUACCGCUAGGGGGUCACACGUUGCAGAACUUGCCGCAUCUCGCCGACAGCAACUGCAAGAAGUUGAAAAGAAUAUACAAGAAGAAUUUGAUCGAGAGAGAUCUCAAUGGAUCCGUGAAAAAGGAUUAUUGCGAGAACAGUUGGAGUUUGUUUCUACUCGUGAACAGCGUGCAAGAGAGAUGGUUGAUUUCUGAGAUCGACAAGCCCAUGAAUGGGAUCAGGCCUUCAGUUCCCUUUGAGGAAAGGUCCAUCGUGUAGUACAGGAUACUGCCAGAAUGGGUUUGGAUUAUCAUCAGUUGGAUCGUGAAGACUUUUUGGCUCAAGUUCCAGCUUUUGCACAACGUCUCACUACUUUAUUGGAGGACAUAUAUUUGAGUUUGGGAGGACAUAUUAAGCCGAAGUCUCCUUAAAUGGAUAGUUGUUUUCUUUGUCAUAGUUUUUCAUUUUCAGUUUUAAAACUUCUUGUUUAGAUGUUAUGUCUUUUAGUUUUAUUUGUCAGAUGUCAGUUAGUAGAUUUUAUUUUAGGAGUUAGGUCAGUUAUUUUGUUGUAUUUAUAUUAUGAAAUGUAAUGAAGUUGACUGUUUAUUUCUAUAUAAAUUACAUAUGUUUUACUUUACUUACCUUAUUUAAUUUCUUCAAUAAAAAAAAGACAAAACAAUCAUUUUGUUAAAUUCCUCCCGAACUACGCAAGAUCUGAUUCAUAUACUGGCAUGAUACGUAGACAACCCUCCAAAGAGUUCGAUCAUAACUUUUGAAAAAGCAUGCCUGGAAAAGCCAGGAUGAAACACAAAGCCUUCCAUGAUCGGUUGAAAAAUGCAUAUAGAAGCAUGAUAUACAACGUGGCGUUAUAAUGUGUUGAAUAUAUAACACUUACUUGUUUGCUACUUGAUAUAGAAAGAUAAAGUAAUUGGUGGUUGGUUUGUGGUUUAAACCGAUAUCACAUUCGUACAAUACCAGAUAUAAGGGAAAAAGAAAAAUGACCCACAGAGAAGGUAUAGGGUCUGACAGUGAAGAAGAUCAAAAUCAGUUGAUUUCACAGGAAGUAGCAUCAAUGGAAGAACUUCAGUUAUUGAAACAACAGAUGACAGAGAUGUACUAAGCUUGUUUGAAUGGACAAGCCCCGUCUUCUUCAAUACCUGAACUUUCUACUUCGAAUGAUCCAAAUCCUGUUCCAGCUCAAACUAGUGAUCCAUUUUACCCACCAGGAUUCGGCCCUUUUGCUAAUAUGUCUGGUGUUGCUGGUACUUCUACCAUACGCCCACCAAUCCGUCUGUCACAAAUAACCCAUUUUUUACUUUUAUAGCACUAGCUACUGCAAGUACUCAACCGACAGUACCAAAGAAUAUGAGGUAACCAAGUCAUGAUCUGUUGUAUCCUCCUGAAAUGACUUUCAAAUUCCAAAAUCCACAUUAUCAUGCAUAUCAACAUGAUUCUCCAAUCAUGAUUGAGAAGAUUGUUAAAAAUGAGGAACAAGAGGAAAUAGCUAGGAAAGUAAGAAGCUUGAAGCAGAGUAUGAGAAGUAUGCAAGGAUUAGGUGGACCAAAAAUUGUUUCAUACAAAGAUUUAUGUAUGUUUUCGGACGUCCAUUUUCUUCUAGGGUUCAAAAUGCCAAAGUUUGAGAAAUACGAAGGUCAUGGCGAUCCUGUAGCCCAUUUGAAGAAGUUCUGCAAUCAAUUAAGAGGAGUAGGAGGAAAAGAAGAACUAUUGAUGGCUUACUUUGGAGAAAUCCUAACAAGAAUAGCUUCUGAAUGGUUUAUUGACCAAGACAUUUCUCGUUGGCACGUAUGGGAUGACAUGGCUCGAGAUUUUGUUCAAUAAUUUCAAUAUAACAUUGAGAUAAUGCCAAAUCGCACUACGCUUGCUAACAUGAGAAAAAAGAUGACUGAAAAUUUUUGAGAAUAUGCUAUCAGAUGGAGAGAGCAGGCUUCAAGAGUCAGAACAUUGAUAAAGGAAUCUAAAAUUAUCGAUAUCUUUUUGCAAGCUCAAGAACCCAAUUAUUUCCAUCACUUAAUUUCUACUAUUGGAAGCACAUUUACUGAAGUUAUUAAGGUUGGAGAUAUGGUAGAGAAUGGAAUAAAGUCAUGAAAUUUUAUCAGCCAGGCCGCUUUGAAAGCAACAACGCAGGCAAUUCAAAGUGUUGCCGGAAGUUUCGGGGGGAAGAAAAGAAAAGAGGACGUAGCAACUAUCGUACCAGGUCCACGACAAAAUUGGAGAGGUGCGCGUCAACCAUAUGCAUAAAAUACAUUAUAUUUCAUUCAAUCCCCCUAAUAUCCUAUUUCCAAUGCACAACCAUAUGCUCAGGAUCCUUCUUACCCGCAAUGGCAUGCACCAGCUAUCCAAAAUCAUCCACUGAUCCCGCAAAUUCAAAGAGGACCUCCUAGAUCUAAUUUUAGACCUAGAGUAGAAUACAAAAGGGAUAACAUGGGCAAAGAUAAUUUCACUCCUAUUGGAAUAUCUUACACAGAGGAGAUAGCGACCUAUGUUGGAUAUGGGGAUAUGCAUUGGAAGAAACUUAUAGCCCCAAGACUCAUUUCGAUAAACAGAUUCUGCAAGCUCAUGAACAUACGAAACUCAAAAGAAGAAUCAAUGAAAAAAGGUUGGGUUUUCUUGCAGUUUUUGUAUGACAGAUAUGGAAGACAAUAGGGGUUUGAAAAGUACGGUAAAUAGCUUUAUAAUAAAGAAAGUUUUGAGGCUUUUAAAGGUCUCAGGGGAUUUGCAUUCAUGGUAGCCUUUCUAGGCACUAUGGUUUUCCCGAGGAGAGAAGAAAAAAUUAAUAUUCGUUUAACGGGGGUGGUACAGAUACUGAUUAAAAAAGAUUACACUGUGGUACCAAUGAUCCUGGUAGAUAUCUACCGAGCUUUGACCGUUUGUCAGAAAGGAAAGAGUUUUUUUUAGGGAUGUAAUAUCUUAUUAUAGAUGUAGAUUGUGGAGCAUAUUUACCGACGUCCUACAAUGGCAAGGUUUAAUCCUGAAUGAUUUAAUCGCAUCAAAGAUUACGAAGAGAGGAUAGAGAAAUAUAAAUGCCCAGAAGGAGUUAGAGAUUAGGAUAAGCUUUUUCGCUCUCUGAUAGCAGAUAAAAUCACUUAGAAUCUCCCUUGGUUCCCUUGGAGGCAAGUCAUACACAGUUCUGUCAUUCGACCGUUGUUAUUAUUAAUGGGUAUUAGGGGUGUUCAACCGUAUGUUUCAUUGAGAGUUUUACGUCGGCUAGGAAGACGUCAAAUAAUUUCCAUUAUGGAAAAUAUGACCGAGUUUGUAUUUGAGGUCAAACCAGAGAUCCCACUUCCAGAGAAAUUGGCCCAGUAGAUUUGGGAGGGUUGCCGUAUCAUGGGGAUUGAAAUGAUGGUCAUAGAGCGUGAGAAAGGAGAAGUGCACCCUGAUUAUCGUGAAUGGUUUGAAGAAUAAUUGAGUCCGCCAGUCAGACCAGAAAGAUCGGUUAGGGGAACUAUAGAUUAGGAAGCUGCAAUCAGGAUAGGAAUUGAGAGAGCCAUGCGAGAACAUCAUGAGGCCAACCAAGCUUUGAGAGAGAAAUUAGAGCAUGCCAGGGCAAAAAUAGACGAACAACAAAGGGAAUUUGCUGAAGAGAAAGCUAAAUCAGUAGAUAUUGAGGUUGCACUUCGGGGACAAAUCAAACUGGCUACCGCUAGGGGGUCACACGUUGCAGAACUUGCCGCAUCUCGCCGACAGCAACUGCAAGAAGUUGAAAAGAAUAUACAAGAAGAAUUUGAUCGAGAGAGAUCUCAAUGGAUCCGUGAAAAAGGAUUAUUGCGAGAACAGUUGGAGUUUGUUUCUACUCGUGAACAGCGUGCAAGAGAGAUGGUUGAUUUCUGAGAUCGACAAGCCCAUGAAUGGGAUCAGGCCUUCAGUUCCCUUUGAGGAAAGGUCCAUCGUGUAGUACAGGAUACUGCCAGAAUGGGUUUGGAUUAUCAUCAGUUGGAUCGUGAAGACUUUUUGGCUCAAGUUCCAGCUUUUGCACAACGUCUCACUACUUUAUUGGAGGACAUAUAUUUGAGUUUGGGAGGACAUAUUAAGCCGAAGUCUCCUUAAAUGGAUAGUUGUUUUCUUUGUCAUAGUUUUUCAUUUUCAGUUUUAAAACUUCUUGUUUAGAUGUUAUGUCUUUUAGUUUUAUUUGUCAGAUGUCAGUUAGUAGAUUUUAUUUUAGGAGUUAGGUCAGUUAUUUUGUUGUAUUUAUAUUAUGAAAUGUAAUGAAGUUGACUGUUUAUUUCUAUAUAAAUUACAUAUGUUUUACUUUACUUACCUUAUUUAAUUUCUUCAAUAAAAAAAAGACAAAACAAUCAUUUUGUUAAAUUCCUCCCGAACUACGCAAGAUCUGAUUCAUAUACUGGCAUGAUACGUAGACAACCCUCCAAAGAGUUCGAUCAUAACUUUUGAAAAAGCAUGCCUGGAAAAGCCAGGAUGAAACACAAAGCCUUCCAUGAUCGGUUGAAAAAUGCAUAUAGAAGCAUGAUAUACAACGUGGCGUUAUAAUGUGUUGAAUAUAUAACACUUACUUGUUUGCUACUUGAUAUAGAAAGAUAAAGUAAUUGGUGGUUGGUUUGUGGUUUAAACCGAUAUCACAUUCGUACAAUACCAGAUAUAAGGGAAAAAGAAAAAUGACCCACAGAGAAGGUAUAGGGUCUGACAGUGAAGAAGAUCAAAAUCAGUUGAUUUCACAGGAAGUAGCAUCAAUGGAAGAACUUCAGUUAUUGAAACAACAGAUGACAGAGAUGUACUAAGCUUGUUUGAAUGGACAAGCCCCGUCUUCUUCAAUACCUGAACUUUCUACUUCGAAUGAUCCAAAUCCUGUUCCAGCUCAAACUAGUGAUCCAUUUUACCCACCAGGAUUCGGCCCUUUUGCUAAUAUGUCUGGUGUUGCUGGUACUUCUACCAUACGCCCACCAAUCCGUCUGUCACAAAUAACCCAUUUUUUACUUUUAUAGCACUAGCUACUGCAAGUACUCAACCGACAGUACCAAAGAAUAUGAGGUAACCAAGUCAUGAUCUGUUGUAUCCUCCUGAAAUGACUUUCAAAUUCCAAAAUCCACAUUAUCAUGCAUAUCAACAUGAUUCUCCAAUCAUGAUUGAGAAGAUUGUUAAAAAUGAGGAACAAGAGGAAAUAGCUAGGAAAGUAAGAAGCUUGAAGCAGAGUAUGAGAAGUAUGCAAGGAUUAGGUGGACCAAAAAUUGUUUCAUACAAAGAUUUAUGUAUGUUUUCGGACGUCCAUUUUCUUCUAGGGUUCAAAAUGCCAAAGUUUGAGAAAUACGAAGGUCAUGGCGAUCCUGUAGCCCAUUUGAAGAAGUUCUGCAAUCAAUUAAGAGGAGUAGGAGGAAAAGAAGAACUAUUGAUGGCUUACUUUGGAGAAAUCCUAACAAGAAUAGCUUCUGAAUGGUUUAUUGACCAAGACAUUUCUCGUUGGCACGUAUGGGAUGACAUGGCUCGAGAUUUUGUUCAAUAAUUUCAAUAUAACAUUGAGAUAAUGCCAAAUCGCACUACGCUUGCUAACAUGAGAAAAAAGAUGACUGAAAAUUUUUGAGAAUAUGCUAUCAGAUGGAGAGAGCAGGCUUCAAGAGUCAGUCCAUCGAUAAAAGAAUCUGAAAUUAUCGAUAUCUUUUUGCAAGCUCAAGAACCCAAUUAUUUCCAUCACUUAAUUUCUACUAUUGGAAGCACAUUUACUGAAGUUAUUAAGGUUGGAGAUAUGGUAGAGAAUGGAAUAAAGUCAUGAAAUUUUAUCAGCCAGGCCGCUUUGAAAGCAACAACGCAGGCAAUUCAAAGUGUUGCCGGAAGUUUCGGGGGGAAGAAAAGAAAAGAGGACGUAGCAACUAUCGUACCAGGUCCACGACAAAAUUGGAGAGGUGCGCGUCAACCAUAUGCAUAAAAUACAUUAUAUUUCAUUCAAUCCCCCUAAUAUCCUAUUUCCAAUGCACAACCAUAUGCUCAGGAUCCUUCUUACCCGCAAUGGCAUGCACCAGCUAUCCAAAAUCAUCCACUGAUCCCGCAAAUUCAAAGAGGACCUCCUAGAUCUAAUUUUAGACCUAGAGUAGAAUACAAAAGGGAUAACAUGGGCAAAGAUAAUUUCACUCCUAUUGGAAUAUCUUACACCAGUUUAUUUCCUAGACUGAAAAAAAUAAAUGUUCUAAACCCAAUUGAGAGAAGAAUCCAAAACCCUUCUCCGAAGAACUUGGACUAUUCUAGAAGAUGUGAAUAUUGUUCUGAUGCCCUAGGGCAUGACACAGAGAGAUGUUGGUAUCUGAAAAGAGCUAGUCAAGGACUGAUUGACACCCAACUGAUCAUGGUACAAAGUACAGACGCUCCAAAUAUCAAUCAAAAUCCACUGCCAAAUCAUAAUAAAGUAAACAUGCUCGAAGUGAUACCCAGUGGUAAAGAUGCUGUAAUAUCCUUCAAGCCGAUCAUUAAAAUUAAAACUGAUGCGGAAAAAUCAACAAAUGAUAUAGACUUGACAAAAGAAAAACCUGUAGAAGCAGAGGUGGUGAUAUUAAAACUCGAAUCAUCGAAUGUUCCCUUGGUGAUGGAGCAAGAUAUUUCAAAAAAUGAUGGGUCAAGUCAAGUAAAGCCAAAACUCAUUGUUCCUAGAAGAUCCCCUAAGCCUCUCAUAAUCAUAAAAGGAGCUUCCGUACCUCCCAUUAUUAUUAAACCAGUGUCACAGUUGCCUAUGGUUAAUACUAAGGCAAUCCCUUGGAACUAUGAUCGCAUUGUGGUGAUGCACAAGGGGAAGGAAGUGAUUGAAGAUGUGGAUGAAGUAGGGGGAUUAACUCGAUUUGGAAGAUGUUAUGCCCCAGUAGAGUUAAGAAAGAAUAAACAAGGCAAUGAAGAACGAAUGACGGUCAAGAAGCUUGUUACUGACGAAGAAGCUGAAGAAUUCUUAAAGAAAAUGAAAUUGCCAGAAUAUUCUGUUGUAGAAUAGUUGAAGAAGAAACCAACACAAUUUUCUUUGUUGUCUUUAUUAAUACAUUCAGAAGAACACCGUAAGGCUAUAAUGAAGAUUCUUAACGAAGCAUGUGUUCCCAGUGAGAUUAAAGUGAAUCAGCUGGAAAAAGUUAUUGAAAGAAUCCUUGAAGCAAAUAAGAUUACUUUCUCAGAUGAUGAAUUGCCUGUGGAAGGUACUAGACAUAAUAAAGGUCUCUACAUUACUGUGAAAUAUGAGCAUUCCAUCGUCACUCGAGUGUUAAUUGAUGGAGGAUCAGGCGCUAACAUUUGUUCGAUGUCAACUUUACAAAAUUUAAAUGUAAAUAUAGAAAGAAUCUGACCUAACAAUGUAUGCAUCAAAGGUUUUGACUGAUCAAAAAUCGAUACCAUUGGUGAAAUAAAACUCAUUUUGACAAUCGGGCCUGUGGAUUUUGCUAUGGAUUUCCAAGUGCUGAACAUUGAUGCUUCAUAUAAUAUGUUAUUGGGAAGGCCAUGGAUUCAUAGGGCUAAAGCAGUCGCAUCAACAUUGCACCAAAUGGUCAAAUUUGAACAUAACAAACAAGAGAUAGUUGUUUAUGGUGAAGGAGACUUAUCCAUGUAUAAAGACUACCCCGUUUCCUUCAUCGAAGUAGAUACUGCAAACAGAGUAUUAAUUCAUUAACCUUUUGAGGUAGUGGCUGUUGAGCAUAUCCUCAAGGGAAAUCUCAUCGCAAGACCACAAUUAUCCUCUACAUCUGUUAUGGUAGUGAAUGAAAUGUUGAAGCAUGGUUUCGAACCAGGGAAAGGUCUAGGAUUGUUUCUGCAAGGCAGGGUUAAUCCAGUAAACCUCCAUGAGAACUUUAGUACUUUUGGUUUGGGAUACGUGCCCACUGCUGAAGAUAUAAAAAAGAAAGAGUCAUGGACACUUACCAAGCCGAUACCGCCACUUCACGAAUCCUUCAUCAAAGUCAGCAUUGUCGAGUCCUCUAUGUUACCUGCAACAGAGUCAGUGAAUGAUGAUGAUACAGAGUUGAUUGGAAUUUUCCAGAAUAUGUUCAUUGAAGCUGAUAUGGUUGAAAUUAGGGAAGGUACCAGCAAUGCAGAUGUGCAGUUUAUCGGCCCUGAUGUCCAGCUUAACAAUUGGGGGGCCACUCCUCUCCCUACUAUGAAAGAGUCUUGGUAGUUUGUUUGUUUUUCUUUUAGUCUUGGUAGCUCAUUUUUCUUUUCAUAAUUUGAAUAAUUUUAGUAUUGUAAUUCAGAUCUUUACCUUGUUAUUUUAGGUUAAAAUUCUUUCUAGCUUUGUUUUUAAUAAAGUGCAGUCUCCCUUUAUUUUAUUUUGAGUCUGAUAUUUAUUUCUUUCUUUCUUUAUUUUCUAUCAUACAAUUCUUUCUAUGCUGAUUCUAAUGAUAUGACAUGCAUGAAGAGUUGUCAACCAGAUUUAAAAACCCAAUCUAAUAAUGAAAUAAUGAAUAAAGAAGUUGAAUAUGAUGAAGAAGAAGCAUUAGAAGAUAUAAGCAAAGAUUUUAAACAGUUUGAGAAAAAAUCAAACCCCAAUUUAGAGGAAACUGAAGCGAUCAAUUUAGGAGAUCAUGAAAAUAUUAGGGAGACUAAGAUAAGUGUACAUGCUCAACCACAAUAAAAGAAAGCUAUAAUUGAAGCUUUGCUUAAGUAUAAAGACAUCUUUGCGUGGUCAUAUGAUGAUAUGCCCGGUUUGAGCACCGAUUUGGUAGUUCAUAAAUUGCCAAUUGAUCCUACUUUCCCACCUGUUAAGCAAAAGCUAAGGAAGCUUAAAACCGACAUGAGUGUAAAAAUCAAAGAGGAGAUCUAAGACAUUAUUUAUCACGUCAUGGGGGACAUAUUGUUAUCGAGUUAUGUCGUUCGGACUAAAGAAUGCUGGGGAAACUUAUAUGAGGGCAAUGACUACAAUGUUUCACGACAUGAUGCACAAGGAGAUUGAAGUUUAUGUUGACAAAGUGAUCAUUAAAUCCAGAGAGCAGUUUGACCAUGUCAAAGAUCUUAGAAAAUUCUUUGAAAGGCUUCGAAGGUAUGAUCUCAAACUUAACCCAACAAAACGUGUAUUUGGAGUCCUGUUAGGAAAGCUUUUGGAUUUUAUAGUCAGUCGGCGUGGCAUUGAGUUAGAUCCUUCAAAAAUAAAAGCUAUUCAAGAUUUGCCUCCACCAAAGAAUAAAAUAGAGGUGAUGAUAUUACUUGGAAGGUUGAAUUAUAUCAGUAGAUUCAUUGCUCAGCUUAUGACAACCUGCGGGCCAAUAUUCAAGUUGUUGAAGAAGAAUGCUAAAGUUGAAUGGACAAAAGAAUGUCAAGAGAUAUUUGACAAAAUUAAGAGGUACUUGUCGAAUCCGCCUAUUUUAGUUCCUCCAGAGCCAGGUAGACCCUUGAUAUUGUACAUGUCUGUGUUAGACAAUUCUUUUGGCUGUGUAUUGGGUCAACAUGAUGUCACUGGCAGAAAAGAACAGGCUAUCUACUACCUUAGCAAAAAGUUUACCACUUAUGAGGCUAAGUACACUCUUCUUGAGAACACGUGUUGCGCCUUAACUUGGGUAGCCCAAAAGCUGAAACAUUACUUGUCAUCUUAUACUACUUAACUCAUCUCUCGUAUGGAUCCUUUAAAGUACAUUUUUCAGAAGUCUAUGCCCACAGGCAGACUCGCGAAAUGGCAGAUGUUACACACAGAGUUUGAUAUUGUCUAUGUGACACGAACUGUAAUGAAAGAUCAAGCUUUAGCGGAUCAUUUGGAUGAAAAUCCUAUUGAUGAGGAGUAUGAACCAUUGAAGACUUAUUUUCCAGAUGAAGAGGUAUUGUAUGUUGAUGAGCUUGUUUCUGACGAUUGUCAUUCAGGCUGAAAAUUAUUCUUUGAUGGAGCUGCUAAUGUAAAAGAAGUGGGGAUAGGAGCAGUUCUUAUUUUUAAAUCAGGACAAUACUAUCCUAUAACAGCCCAACUUUGAUUCUAUUGUACCAAUAAUAUGGCAGAAUACGAAGCUUGCAUUCUGGGUUCGAGAUUAGCUAUUGACAUGGGAAUCCAAGAACUGUUAGUUUUAGGAGACUCAGAUUUGUUAGUCCAUUAAAUCCAAGGAGAUUAGAAGACACGUGAUUCAAAGCUCCUACUAUAUCGAGGUUGUUUGCAAGAUCUAUAUCAACCAUUUGUAUCAGUAAAUUUCAAACACAUUCCCAGAGCUCAUAAUAAGAUUGUUGAUGUUUUGGCGACCUUAUCUUCAAUGCUUCAAUAUCCCGACAAAACUUAUAUUGGCCCUUUGCAUAUACAGAUUCAUGAUUAACAUGCAUAUUUCAAUGUGGUUGAGAAAGAACUUGAUGGGGAGCCGUGGUUCCAUGAUAUUAAAGAAUAUAUUCAGACUAGAAAAUAUCCUAUCCAUGUCAAUGGUAACCAAAAGAGAACUAUUCGACGUUUGUCUAGUGGAUUUUUACUAAGUGGAGAUAUCUUGUAUAAGAGGACUCCUGAUUUGGGACUUUUGAGGUGUGUAGAUGCUAAAGAAGCUUCAAAAAUCAUUACUGAAGUACAUUCUGGGAUUUGUGGACCACACAUGAGUGGAUAUGUUUUGGCAAAAAAAAUACUCCGUGCAGGUUAUUAUUGGCUCACCAUGGAGCGAGAUUUCAUCAAUUUCAUUCGUAAAUAUCAUAAAUGUCAAGUACACGGGGACUUGAUACAUUCCCCUGCAUCUGAGUUGCAUACAAUGACUGCUCCAUGGUCUUUUGUGGCUUGGGAAAUAGACGUAAUUGGACCAAUUGAACCAAACGCUUCGAAUAGACAUAAGUUCAUCUUAGUAGCCAUUGAUUAUUUUACGAAGUAGGUGGAAGUAGCAACUUUCAAGUCAGUGACCAAGAAAGUAAUGGUUGAUUUUAUUCACUCCAACAUCAUUUGUUGGUUCGACAUUCCAAAGAUAAUUAUCACGGAUAAUGCUACGAAUCUCAAUAGCCAUCUGAUGCAAGAAGUGUGCCAGCAAUUUAAGAUCAUGCAUCGGAAUUCAACUCCUUAUCGUCCAAAAGCGAAUGGAAUUGUAGAAGCUGCCAACAAGAACUUAAAGAAAAUACUCCGUAAGAUGGUGCAGGGUUCUCGAUAGUGGCAUGAAAAGUUACCUUUUGCUUUGUUAGGCUAUCGUACUACAGUUUGGACUUCAAUUGGUGCAACUCCUUACUUGUUAGUGUACGAAACUGAAGUAGUUAUACCUGCAGAGAUUGAAAUUUCAUCUCUUCGAGUAGUUGUAGAAGCUAAAAUUGAUGAUGACCAAUGGGUCAAUACUCGUUUGGAGCAAUUAAGAUUGAUUGAUAAAAAAAAGAUUAACAUCAGUAUGUCAUAGACAACUAUCCAGAAGAGAAUGGCACGAGCAUAUAACAAAAAGGUGCGUCACAGACAUUUUGAAGUUGGUUAGUAAGUACUAAGACGCAUCCUACCCCAUCAGAUUGAAGCCAAAAGCAAAUUUUAUCCUAAUUGGCAUGGACCAUUCAUGGUGAAGAAAGUGUUACCUAAUGGCGCGUUAUAUCUGAAUGAUAUAGAAGGCAAAAUGGAAGGAAUGCCCAUCAAUGCUGAUGCUGUUAAAAGAUCUUAUGUAUAAUAUUCAUGUACAAUUACAUUAUGUACGUUUUGUACUUGCAUUUUAAAAGAUUGAAAUGAUGAAGGCAUUUUGUUCUACUAUUCGAAUAAUAUAUCAACCUUUGCUUACCCCUUUUGAGAUUUUAUCUUUCUUCGUACCCCUCUUUUGGAAUCAAAUAUGUGAAAAAAAAAGUUGAAAGAAAAAGAUUGAAAUGAUGAAGGCAUUUUGUUCUACUAUUCGAAUAAUAUAUCAACCUUUGCUUACCCCUUUUGAGAUUUUAUCUUUCUUCGUACCCCUCUUUUGGAAUCAAAUAUGUGAAAAAAAAAGUUGAAAGAAAAUAAAAAAAAUCAAUUAAAAAUUCAAAAUCAAGCAAAAGAAAUUUGCCUGAACUACGUUUGACCUGAUUCUUGCUAUGCCAAGAUACGUGGGCAGCCCUACUUCGGGGUUUGGUCCAUCCAAAAGAAAAUUCAAAUUACCCAGAAUGAAAGAAAACUGGGGCAAAAGUUUAUUUUCUUAAAAAAAAAAUCGAUUCCAAAAGUUGAAUAUUUUACCCAAUGUUGUGUAAAUUUUGAUCCUCAUGUCGACCUAUAUUUCUAACUCAGUACAAAAGCAAAGUUACAACAAAAAAAAAGACCUUCAGAUCAAUCUUUCAGAAUAUCAAGGGUAAACAUGUUAUGGGUGCAUGAUAUUUCAUAUUUUGGGUGUUUACUUAAAAAAAGAAGGGAAAAUUGAUGAAAAAGAGAGAGUCUUAUUGGUGAAAACCCUGUUGGGUACCAUAAGGCGACUGUAAGCUGAGAAAGAAAUGAAAAUGAGAUAGGCUUGUUGGCAAAAACCCAUUGAGGUGCCACUAGCCGAAGGAGAGUAGUUAUCCAGAAGAAACAAGUUCAAGAUUGGCUAAAUUUUAAGCUCAAUAAGUGGACAAAAGUUGUAAUGAUUAGUGUGGGUAAAUCUGGUUGUUUGAUUCAAAAUGCAUGUCAUAAUCAUCAGAAUCGAUUUUCACGUUCAGAUAAGUUUUUCUUUUUGUGUUGAAAAAGAAAUGAUUAUUGUCUUUUUCUUUUUCUUUUAUUUUAAUUUUUGAUUUUUGUGUCCUUGUCAUCAAAAAGAAAAUUUUGUUGUCUUGUAUAUGUUUUUGAGUCAAAUUCACGUCAGGUCAAGUGAGAAAUAACUCCAAAUUUACUACCAACUUCUUCAAUGGUAAAAGCAAGACAAAUGGUCGACAUACAAAGAGAACACUUCAAAGUAUAAUGAAGUACUCAGAAUGAUCGUGAUUUGAUAAUUUUUGGCUCAUUGAAAGGUAAAAGGUGUAUGAAAAAUUAAAUCCUGAGAUAUUAUACAAGAGAAAUAUGUCUUAAGUUGAGAGUAUCAGUAGUCAGAAUUUUGGGUCAGAAGUAUGACAAGUCAAUGGAUAUCAAUUUAGGAAUGAAAAGAAGUUGAGCAUGAAAAGUGCAAGAACAGUCAGUUCAAGAGCCAAAUACCACAAACCAACCACAAUGUGUUUUUAAAACUCACAAUUUGUCUUUGUUUUGUUUGAAAAAGAAAGUUUUCAAAUAAAGGAUGCAAUUUCAUACUUUUGUCUAUGCAACAGUCAUGAUUACAACACACAAUGCCGGAAGUUCAGGAGCCCGCCUGAAGAAAAGGGUGAAGAAGUAACAAGUCAAGAGCCCGCCUGAAGAACAGGGUAAGAAAAGAGAAAGCCCAAGAGUCCGCCUGAAGAAUAGGAUGAAGAAAUUGUACGUCCAGGAGCCCGCCUGAAGAAUAGGGUGAAGAAAUUGUAAAUCCAGGAGACUGCCUAAAGAACAGGGUGAAGAAAAAAUGGAAGUUCAGGAGCCCGCCUGAAGAACAGGGUGAAGAAAAAAAGAAGUCCAGAAGCCCGCCUGAAGAACAGGGUGAAGAAAAAAAGAAGUCCAGAAGCCCGCCUGAAGAACAGGGUGAAGAAAAAUGAAAGUCCAGGAACCCUCCUGAAGAACAGGGUGAAGAAAAGAGAAGGCCGAGGAGCCCGCCUGAAGAGCAGGGUGAAGAAAAGAGAAAGUUCAGGAGCCCGCCUGAAGAACAGGGUGAAGAAAAAAUGAAAUUCCAGGAACCCGCCUGAAGAAUAGGGUGAAGAAAAGAGAAAGUCCAAGAGCCCGCCUAAGAACAAGGUGAAGAAAUUAUAAGUCCAGGGGCCCGCCUAAAGAACAGGGUGAAGAAAUUAUAAGUCCAAAAGCCUGCCUGAUAAAUAAGGUGAAGAAAAAAAGAAGUCCAGGAGCCCGCUUGAAGAAUAGGGUGAAGAAAAAAUUAUAAAUCAAGAGCCCGCCUGAAGAACAGGGUGAAGAAAUUGUAAGUUCAGGAGCCCUCCUGAAGAACAGGGUAAAGAUAUUCUAAGUCCAGGAGCCUGCCGGAAGAACAGGGUGAAGAAAAAAGGAAGUCUAGGAGCCUGCCUGAAGAACAGGGUGAAGAAAAAAAGGAAGUCCAGGAGCCCGCCUAAAGAACAAGGUGAAGAAAAUGAAAGUCCAGUAGCCCGCCUAAAGAACAGGGUGAAUAAAAUCAAGUCCAAGAGUCAUCCAGAAGAACAGGGCGAAGGAAAAGCAAGCCAGUAGCCUGCCUAAAGAAUAAGGUGAAUUUUCAAGUUCAAGUCACGAAGAUUAGAAUCAAGAUUCUAGAGAUUGUAAUUUUCAUUUGUAUUUUUCAUUUUUGAUUUUUUGUUAGCCAUUUGAAUGUAAAAGGCAGAAGUCGUUAACUGAAAACUCGACUUAAUAUUAUUCAACUUUUAACUCUUUUUCUCUCCAUAUUACCUUUGAACUAUUCGUGACCUAAUUCCUUAUAACCCGGGAUAGAUAGGAUGUCCAAAAACAGGACUCGGUCACAUUUUUACUUUUAUUUUUAAUUUCAUUUUAUCCUUACCUUUCAAAUAAUUGGAGGGUUAAAAAUCAUAUCUUGUCUACUUUGUAUGAAAACUCUUCGAGAUUCCACACAAAGAGGGGAAAAAAUGUAGACACAUGAUUUUUUAUCUUUCCUAAUUUUAACUCAUUUAUCGAUAUUAAAUAUUUAUAUUUAUAUUUAUAUUUAAUCAUAUAUUAUUUUGAUUCUUAUUUUAUUUUUAAUAAAUUUUUAUUUAAAAAAAUAAAUAAUUAAAUAAAUUUAGCUUUAAGNNNNNNNNNNNNNNNNNNNNNNNNNNNNNNNNNNNNNNNNNNNNNNNNNNNNNNNNNNNNNNNNNNNNNNNNNNNNNNNNNNNNNNNNNNNNNNNNNNNNNNNNNNNNNNNNNNNNNNNNNNNNNNNNNNNNNNNNNNNNNNNNNNNNNNNNNNNNNNNNNNNNNNNNNNNNNNNNNNNNNNNNNNNNNNNNNNNNNNNNNNNNNNNNNNNNNNNNNNNNNNNNNNNNNNNNNNNNNNNNNNNNNNNNNNNNNNNNNNNNNNNNNNNNNNNNNNNNNNNNNNNNNNNNNNNNCCUUAAUCUCUAUAUUUAAUGGUACUUACACUGUUUUCAAAAGGGGAUUCUACGUACAUUCAUUCUCAGACACAUAUAGAUUAUCAGAAAGAGAAAGUUAGAUUGUGAAAAAUAUCAGAUAAAAAGAGAGAAAAGAGGAUGAAGUUGAAUUUGAUUCCGUUUGAGUUUUCAGUGCAGACUGUUUCUCGCUUUAUUUUUCAGUUCAAGUAAUUACAGGUUCUUUUCAAUCUUGAAUCAUUUAUGUUGUAAGUUUAUAGAGGAAAAAAAGUAUGAAUAAAAAUAUCAAGUGAUUUCAUGCUUUAUGAAUGGUUGAUUGAUCAAAAGAAUAUUUGUUAUUAUAUGUUAUGAGAUUAAAAUUAUCGAAUAUUUAUAUAUUUGUACAUGAAAAAGUCUCUAAAUUAAAACUCUGUAUGUUGAUACUAUUAAAUUUAAAAUGGGGACACAAAGGAAAACAGUGAAUCAAAAAAAAUAGAUUCUAUUUCUCACAUGCACACACUGGAACAUGAAUACCUUAUAAACUGCACACAUCACUCACAGAUAUAGCAAUUCACGCGCAUGAAAAUAAAAUACAUGCAUAUAAAAAAUGAGAUUGGAAUAAAAAAUCAACAAAGACAGAAUAGUUGGGAACGGAGAAAAAAUCAGUGAAAACAGAAACGAGAGGGAGAUGAAAAAUUAUUUGAAGGAUAAAAGGAAAAUCAUCAAUCUUUCUCUGAAUUUUUCGGCGAAUUUUCUUGCCGGAAAUACAUCAAAAAAUUCACCAUUGUCUGAAUUCAUUCUAUUUUUGUCAAAAUUUGACCCUUAUAGUUAGUUCUGGCGAACCAACUCGCCGGAAAAACUUCGCCGUCCCUGCGCCGUCACUCCCCUCCCCAGAUCUAGCCGGAAUCUUUUCCAUCGACGAAAAACCGCUGCUGUCGUCCCCUCUCCCAUCCCCAUUCACCGAUGUAACCUAAAACCGGCGUAAUUCCGCCGGUAACCACCCCUGAACCGGCGAAAAAUUACCAGAUCUGCCGUGACUCGUCGAUUUCCUUCCUUUUCCCUUUUCCAGCGAUCUCCAUUGCUGUCAUAAAUAUUGUAAAAAAGUAAAGAAAAAGUUUUUGUUAUUUUUUCUUUUGGAAUACUGAAUGUACGCAGAAGAGAAGAUAUCUUUAUAUUUCUUUUAUUAUUGUUUUCUUUUAGGAUAAAUACUCAUGUCCCUAUGUUUGUGUAUAAUUUAAAAUUAUUUUAUUUAAUAAUUAGUAAAAAAAAUAAAGUAUGAAUAAAUUUGAUACUAAUAAAAUUUAUUAUUUAUUUCGAGAAUUUUCGUGUAUGAUUUAUCUUAUAAUAUAUAAUUUGAGUUUAUUUAAUUUAAAAAGAUUAUUUUCACGAAAAAUUAUUAUUAUAAUAUAUGUAGAUUUGUAUAUUUUAUUAUUUUAUUAACAGAAUUUAAUAAUUAUUUAUUUAAUUAAUUAUAUUAAAUGAAUUUUGCUUUAAUUUAUUAUUAAGGGUUUAGAUAAAUUUUAGAUGCAUUUUAAACAUUCGUCUCAAUUAAGAAUGCGGCAUACGUAUCUUUUGAGACAUUUAAAAUUUAAGGAUGCAAUAAUGCACCUUGAUAAAUAAUUUUUCUAAAAUUAUUUUUUUCGUUGAUAUAUUUAAUAUAAAAUAAUAGACAAGUUUUUUUCGGUAUGAUAAAAUAAGUGAAUUUAGGCCUUAACACAAUUUAUUAAAAUAGUUUUAGUUAAGUACAAGUCAAUAGAAGCGAUUGUGCUAGAACCACGGGACUCGAGGAGUGUCUAACACCUUCUCUUCGAUCAAUAGAAUUCCUUACCCGAUCUUUUGUAUUCGCAAAUCAAAUAAAAGAGUCAUUUCCUUUUGACUAGGAAUUCAAAAAGGUGACUUGGAGCACCAUAACUCAAUUUCAAGUGGCGACUCUGUAAAUAAAAUAAUCCCUAUCCAAAACCGUUACUUGAAUUGGAAAAACCCUUCGACCUCGACCCUCGAGCGAAAAAGGGGUGUGACAGUGUAUUCUUUUUUCUUGCAGAAAUUCCUAGUGUUUAUUUUGUGUGACUUGAAUGAAUCCCUUCAGUAUAUGCUAGAUCCGCCCUUAAGUAUGUAUAUGACUUGAGUCUGACCUCAGCGUGAUAUAUACAUGCAUAUAUGCUCACAACUCCACUUACCAGCUGUGCAACCUUUAGCCCAUUUUGUUCUUUUAUAUCUUUUCUCAUCUCUAGAAAAUUCGAUAUAUGUUGCUGCAGUCCAUUUCAGUUCAAAUGUUAUUUUACAGAAAAAAUUAACAUAAGCGAGUUAUUAAAAAAACACAAAUUUGACUGAAGAUCUUUAUAGGCUUUUUUUUCUCCGUAUUCGUAAGUAAACAUAAGAGAUUAUUUUCUCCCAACUAAGCGUACAAUAUGCAUGCAUGCACACACAUACAUUGUCUAUCUAUCAAGAGGAUAGUGAUAAACACGAAUUUUCAAAUCCUCGACCUACUGAUUGAUGAUGAAGGGAAGGCGAUUAAUUACUUGCAGAGCAGAGCAACUCCCAGUUGCUCUUCACUCUCCUGAUUAGAAGUGGUGAACGUAGAAAAAAAAAAAUUGUGGGUGGGGGAGGGGACCCUAUGCAUUAAUAUUACGAGAAAUUGACAUAAAUAUACAACACUAACAUAAUAUAUAUUGGCAACAUCAUUGCCAAAUAAAUACUUAUUUGCAAAAGGAAGACCCAAAUUAAAUGGCAUUAAUUAGCCAAUAAAUGCGUCUUUUUUUUUUUUCGUUUUAAAUCUCAAGUAAAAUUCUUAGUCACGAAUUUCUUCCAUGAAAAAAUGGUUCAAUUGCAUUCUUUUGUAGCCGGCCCUAUAUUAGGGAUGCAUUUUACACAAAUUUCAUCAUAAUUAAAUUGCAAAAGAGAAAGUUGUAACAAAAAGAAGAAAAUCUAAUCAGAAUCCUUGACGCAGAUGACUACAUUGCAUCUUUUGGUCCAUUACAAACGAGAAUGCAAUUGUAAUAAUAGCUUUGUAUAUAGGUACUGGUUAUAAUGAAUUCAUUAACAUUAGUGCAUCUUAUCUAAACAUAAAUACAACUCUCAAUUUCUUAGAUGUGCGGUGUCAAAUUGAUGUUUAUACAAAAUGAUAUGGGAUUACAAGUAUACAUCGAAUUGAAGAAAGGGCAUCUCAAUUUUAAAGUUUAUCCUUUGUGUAUGAGUUGAAAAACUAACGAUAUCCAUAGCGUUCUUUCAAUUGAUGUAAUUGGAACAAGAAUCCAUAGAAUUCUAAAUAAUGGUAUUCUGUUACAAGCAAAUAUCGACACAAUCUUGAUGUUUGAACAAAACAUGUAUCGAGUUAUUUUGGUUAAAAUAUGACACUAAGAAAUACUUACAAGAAAAUGGAAGCUUCUCGUGGAUUUGUGAUGGACUGAAUCAUAGUAAAUUGGCAGAAUAUAUGAAGAAAAUGAAAGAUAAAAAAAGUGGGUAAAAAGAUAUGGUGAGGAAGGGAAAGUAUGGUUAAUUUUGAAAGUGAAACGAGAAAAGAUACGGAGAAGAAUGAGAGAAAAGCAGGGUGAAUUAAGAAGGUAGUUUUGAAAUAUUUAAGUAAGACAGAGAAAAUGUUUAAUAAUUAAAAUAUAUAUAAUGAAGAGGAUUUAAAAUGUUUUUGGCUAGUGAUAAUUAGCCAAAUAGGUUAGCUUUGGCCAUUUGAUUAGCCAAAAAAGGUUAACUUUGGCCAUUUGAUGCCAAGCAUAACAGAUAUUGGCUAUACUUCACCAAUUUGAACUCUACGUUGUUACACUUUGCAAAUUUUUCCAUUACGACGUGGUUGAUUUGGGCUGACAAGUCCAACCUGAAUCACUAAAUCUCAGCCCAAUAGGAUUUAUGGACCUGUUGGACUAUUAUCAACUGCUCCCAUCAGUGACUUGUUCAGCUUCUGCUAGUGCUUCGAAAAUAACAUUAAUUAAUAGGGGAACAUCACAAACCUUUCACAUAUAAGUAGUAAAAUGGAGAAUAAGAAGCAGCUCUUUUUUUUUUUUCUUUUCUUUUUAUUUGGUACAUAAAAAGGGAAAAGCCAUACUGAUCAAGUUUCACUAUUGAUAAUCCCCCCCUAAUACUUUUUAAUAGUAGUAGAGGCUAAUUAAGAGUGAUCAUUGGAAUAGCUAGGUUCAUCAUUUUGAGUAGGAAGUGGAAGGUGACCCUUCUCCUGCAGACUUUUCACUGUCUCAUAUAAGCAUUGUUUCACAGGCGUAAAUUCCAAGCCCAAGUCCUUUAGCUUUUGGUUCGUGAAUUUGUACGGUUUUUCCCUUGGCCUCGUCUCAUCCGAGCACCUGAAUCAUAAUAAUGAUUAGAUUUAAUAGUAGCAUAAGUGGUAAUAAUAGCCUGAUUUAAGGAAAGACGAGGGGAACUAACGUGAAAACAAGGCUCUCUCUCUCUCUAUAUAUAUAUAUAUAUAUUUCGAGGCCUCGAGCGUCUGUAUUAGGCCAUGAUUUAAUUAAUUAAUGAUCACCUAUUCUAGAUAUAUAGCAGUUCUAGAAACGAGAUUGAUUACGUGACAACAUGUAUAUGAUUUUGUUAUAUACUAAUUAAUCAUUGCUAACGACGACAUAUAUCUAUUAUUACAGCUUAAUAAUCGUUAGAGAUCAUGAUUGAAAUUACUACAAAGGGAUGUCCCCUCCUACUAUUGUUGACACUAUAGAUCGAUGUCACUAGAUGAUGCUAAUGAGCUAGGAGGGUAAAGUGGAAGGAAAAAGUUGCUGGGGCCAAACAAGAUUUUGAUGUUUUGUAGGUAAGGCAAAUCUAGAAACAUAUAUACUUGGAUGUUUGUUAAUGGGUACUCUUUAUUUAAAUUUACAGCGUCAAUUUCAGUCAAAUUCUUUCAUAAAGUAUAUAUUAUAUAUAGUACACGAUUUUGUUUGUUGGGUACACCUACACCUACUGACACAUCAUCAUUUCAAAUACAAGAAACUUCUCCUUUUAGGAUAAUAAUUAAUGUAUACAUGUCGUUAAAUAGGAUUAGCAGACAGAUUUUUAGGCAAUAAGGUUAGUUCAAAUAAUGGUUAAAUUUAGCUGAAAGAUUUGGAUAGUGAGUUUACUUGGUGGGGAUGGGAUACUCCGGGAAGAACUUGUCUAGGAUUUCAACCACGUCGCCGCGAUGAAGCACGCUCUCGGCACAGAUAUAGCGGCCAGAUGCAGAAGGAGUCUCGUAGACAAGUAUGUGGGCAAGUGCCACAUCCUUCACAUGAACAUAUCCCUGAACUGAAUUAGCAUAUGAUUUGGCAGAGCCAGUUAGGUACUUUAGUAUGUGACGAACACUUGCAUUCACUGUGGGCUGGAGCAGUGGUCCAAGCACCAACACUGGGUUGAUCACGACCAAAUCCACUCCUUUUUCCCUUGCCUCAU
rnacentral:lncRNA from 1 species